rnacentral:rRNA from 1 species
UUCCAUGACCAUACACCCUGAAUAUGCCUAAUCUCAUCUGAUCUCAGAAGCUAGGUAGUGUCAGGCUUGGUUUGUACUUGGAGAGGAGAAAGAGAAAAACAAAAUAAGAGCAGAUGACAUGAUUCCAAGUUUGGAAU